rnacentral:misc_RNA from 1 species
UCUAAAUUGGUCCUAACAGUGAAGGCAGGCAACCGUUGUCGAUGGCAAGCAGCAACUCUUUCUCUAAAGCACCGCCUUCCUGGUUUUCUCAGUGUUGGUCCUCUGCUCGCAGGACCAAACCUAUAAAUUCACCCUUUGACACUAUCGUCGCUACAAAUUCCUCCGAUGGACUCGUCCGCCGUCUCGGUCUCUUCGAUCUUAUUCUGCUUGGCGUUGGUGCCUCCAUUGGUGCCGGUAUCUUCGUCGUCACCGGAACCGUCGCUCGCGAUGCUGGACCUGGAGUCACAAUUAGUUUCAUACUAGCCGGAGUAUCAUGUAUAUUAAAUGCACUCUGUUAUGCUGAGCUGGCUUCUCGUUUCCCUGCUGUUGUUGGAGGAGCAUACUUGUAUGCAUAUUCAGCUUUCAAUGAAAUCACUGCUUUCCUUGUUUUUGGUCAACUGAUGCUUGAUUACCACAUUGGGGCAGCUAGCAUAGCGCGAAGUUUAGCAAGUUAUGUAGUCAC